CGCGUAGGCGGUUAGUUAAGUCUGUUGUGAAAUCCCCGGGCUCAACCUGGGAAUGGCAAUGGAAACUGGCUAGCUAGAGUGUGUCAGAGGAUGGUGGAAUUUCCGGUGUAGCGGUGAAAUGCGUAGAGAUCGGAAGGAACAUCAGUGGCGAAGGCGGCCAUCUGGGACAACACUGACGCUGAAGCACGAAAGCGUGGGAGCAAACCA
rnacentral:rRNA from 1 species